rnacentral:rRNA from 1 species
UACGGAGGGUGCAAGCGUUAUCCGGAUUCACUGGGUUUAAAGGGUGCGUAGGCGGGCAGUUAAGUCCGUGGUGAAAUCUCUGAGCUUAACUCAGAAACUGCCAUGGAUACUAUCUGUCUUGAAUAUUGUGGAGGUAAGCGGAAUAUGUCAUGUAGCGGUGAAAUGCUUAGAUAUGACAUAGAACACCAAUUGCGAAGGCAGCUUGCUACACAGUUAUUGACGCUGAGGCACGAAAGCGUGGGGAGCGAACAGG